rnacentral:ncRNA from 1 species
UUUUCUUAAAAUUUUUAACAUAAAUUAAAUAUUAUUAAAAUUUAUAUAUUUUAAUAUAUAAUAUUAUAAAAUUAAUGUAAUUUAAAUAAAAUAAUAUAAAAUUAUUAUUGUCAAAAAUUUGUGCCAGCAGUCGCGGUAAUACAAAAAAUAAUGAAAAUAUUAUUUUAUAUAUUUUAUAUGAUAUUAUUUAAUUUUAUUGAUAAAUUUUUGAGUGAAAUUAAAAUUUAUUUUAUGAUUAUCUAUAUAAGGUUUAUGAUUUGUAAAAAAUUAGUAUUAAACUAGGAUUAGAUACCCUAUUAUAUAAUUGAUAUUUAUUAUAAGUAUUAUUAUAAUUUUAAAUUUAAAGAAUAUGGCAGUAUUUUAAUCAAUUUAGAGGAAUUUGUUUAUUGAUUGAUAAUACACGAUUAAUUUUACUUAAAUUUUAUUUGUAUAUCAUUGUUUAAAUUAUUUUUAUUUAAUAUAAAUGAUUAAUUAUUAAAUUUAAUAUGAAUUCAAAUCAAGAUACAGUUAUAUUUAAGAAUAUUAUGAAUUACAUUUAAUUUAUUAAUUGAAUUAAUUUUUUUAUAAAUUUUAUGAAAUUGGAUUUAAUAGUAAUUUAUUAAAUUUAUUAUAAAUGAUUAAAGUUUUAAAAUAUGUACAUAUUGCCCGUCAUUCUUAUUAUUUUUUUUAAAAUUGUAUUUUUAAAAUUAAUUAAGACAAGUCGUAACAAAGUAAAAUUAUUGGAAAAUGAUUUUAGA